rnacentral:rRNA from 1 species
UCCUGGAUCAGGAUGAACGCUAGCGGGAGGCUUAACACAUGCAAGUCGAGGGGCAGCACGGGGUAGCAAUACUCUGGUGGCGACCGGCAAACGGGUGAGUAACACGUAUGUAACCUACCCUGUACAGGGGGAUAACCCGGAGAAAUUCGGACUAAUAUCCCAUAACAAUAUUCAGAGGCAUCUUUGGAUAUUUAAAGUUCCGGCGGUACAGGACGGGCGUGCGUAACAUUAGCUAGUUGGUAAGGUAACGGCCUACCAAGGCUUUGAUGUUUAGGGGUCCUGAGAGGGUGGUCCCCCACACUGGUACUGAGACACGGACCAGACUCCUACGGGAGGCAGCAGUGAGGAAUAUUGGUCAAUGGGCGCAAGCCUGAACCAGCCAUCCCGCGUGCAGGAAGACGGCCCUAUGGGUUGUAAACUGCUUUUCCAGGGAGAGAAACUUGCGCACGUGUUGCGUAAUUGACGGUACCCUGGGAAUAAGCAUCGGCUAACUCCGUGCCAGCAGCCGCGGUAAUACGGAGGAUGCGAGCGUUAUCCGGAUUCAUUGGGUUUAAAGGGUGCGUAGGCGGACUAUUAAGUCAGUGGUGAAAUCCUGCAGCUUAACUGCAGAACUGCCAUUGAUACUGAUAGCCUUGAGUUUGGUUAAGGUAGGCGGAAUGUGUAAUGUAGCGGUGAAAUGCUUAGAUAUUACACAGAACACCGAUUGCGUAGGCAGCUUACUGAGCCGACACUGACGCUGAGGCACGAAAGCGUGGGGAUCGAACAGGGAUUAGAUAA